AUUAAAAUUAUUAAUAUUUUUAUUUUUUUUUGAUUUUUUAUAAAAGUAAUUUAUUUAUUUAGAGUUUUAGUAUUUAGUAAAAAUUAAUUUAUAGAUUUAUAGUUUAAUAGUAUUGUAAAAGAAUUAAUUAAAUUUUUAAAAGAAUAUUUUUAGUACCUUUUGUAUCAGGGUUGAUUAAAAUUUUUAAUUUUUUUUUAAUUUCUCAAAAUUUAUAGAGUUAAUUUUAUUAUUAAUUUAUUGUGUUAUAAAUAUUUAAAAAAUAAUAUUAGUUUUGAAAUUUAAUUCGUUAUAUUAUAUUUAGUUAUUUAAGAUUUAAAUUUAAUUUAAAAUUUUAAAAGUUAUAUUGAUUUUUUAUAUUAAUAUUUUAAAUUUAAAUUAUUUUAGGGAUAAGCUUGAAAUUUUUAUAUAAUAAUUUAUUUAUUUUAAUAAUUUAUAGGAAUAGAAAUUUUUAUUUAAGUUUGUAAAAAUUUAUUAUUUAUUUAUUUUUAAUUUAUUAUAAAUUUAUUUAUUUUUUAUAUUAAAUUUUAUUAAUUAAUAUUUAAUUAAUAGUAAUAAUGAUUAAAUUAGUAUAAUUUUUAUUUAUAAAUUAUGAAUUCGGCAAAAAUUAUUUUCAUCUGUUUAACAAAAACAUUGUAUUAAGUUUAAUUUAAUAUAGGAUCUGCUCAAUGAUUUAUUAAAUAGCUGCAGUAUUUUGACUGUGCAAAGGUAGCAUAAUAAUUAGUCUUUUAAUUGAGGACUUGUAUGAAAGAUUUGAUGAGAAAUAAACUUUAUUAUUUAUAUAAUUAAAAUUUUAUUUUUAAGUAAAAAAGCUUAAAUUAUUUAAAGGGACGAUAAGACCCUAUAAAACUUUAUAAAUAUUAAUUUUGAUUUUUUUGGAUUUAUAAAUAUUUUAAUUUUAUUAUUUAUUUUAUUGGGGUGAUAAAAAAAAUUAUUAAACUUUUUUUAAAAUUUUACAUUAUUUAAUGAGUAUUUGAAUUAAAAUUUUUAAUUAAAGGAAAAAGUUACUUUAGGGAUAACAGCGUAAUUAAUUUUUUAAGUUCAAAUUUAAAAAUUAGUUUGCGACCUCGAUGUUGAAUUAAGAUUAAUCUUAGGUGCAAAAUUUUAAGUAUUAGGUCUGUUCGACCUUUAAAUUCUUACAUGAUCUGAGUUCAAACCGGUGUAAGCCAGGUUGGUUUCUAUCUUUUAAAAAAUAAAUUAUUUUAGUACGAAAGGAUUAAAUAAUUGAAUUAAAUUUUUAUUAAAUGAAUUAAAUUAAUUU
rnacentral:rRNA from 1 species